rnacentral:rRNA from 1 species
UACGAGUACCCCAAGCGUUAUCCGGAAUCAUUGGGCGUAAAGGGUGUGUAGGUGGUCUCUUUAGUCUUCUGUUAAAAUUCCUGGCUCAACCAGGAACCUGCAGUGGAAACGGAGAGACUCGAGGGUGCGAGGGGUGAAUGGAACUCAUGGAGUAGGGGUGAAAUCCGUUGAUAUCAUGGGGAACACCAAAAGCGAAGGCAAUUCACUGGCGCACUUCUGACACUGAAACACGAAAGCGUGGGUAGCGAACGGG